CUUUGAAAAACGAUCGUGGAGGAGAUGAAGCGCAGGUUUGUUAGUUCAGGGAAGCAGAGGAAUUGUACCUCCGUGGUUGAGGCGUCGACAGUAUUGUGCAUCAUGCAGCUCGCUUCUAUUGGAAAAGAAUCAAAGAGUUCAGACGACAUUGUUUACUGAUGGAAGAGGGUACUUACUUGAUCUCCAGAAUUGGUUAAUGUGAUUCAUGAAGAUUACUCCGAGCUACUUUGAGCCUUGAAGAAUGCAAUAUAUAUGUCAUCAUGGAAGUGAAGUUGGGGAUCAUUUGUGUAUGUGGAUGCAUGGAUCACUUCUCUGGAAGCAGCAUGACAUGAAGCUAAAAAGUGGAUGAUCAAGUCAUGUCUACUCAGUCACAU